GACGAACGCUGGCGGCGUGCCUAAUACAUGCAAGUCGAGCGCAGGAAACAGAUUGAAGCCUUCGGGUGAAUAUUUGUGGAAUGAGCGGCGGACGGGUGAGUAACACGUGGGUAACCUGCCUACAAGAUUGGGAUAACUCCGGGAAACCGGGGCUAAUACCAAAUAAUACUUUUUGCCUCCUGGCAGAAAGAUGAAAGGCGGCUUCGGCUGUCACUUGUAGAUGGACCUGCGGCGCAUUAGCUAGUUGGUAGGGUAAUGGCCUACCAAGGCGACGAUGCGUAGCCGACCUGAGAGGGUGAUCGGCCACACUGGGACUGAGACACGGCCCAGACUCCUACGGGAGGCAGCAGUAGGGAAUCUUCCGCAAUGGACGAAAGUCUGACGGAGCAACGCCGCGUGAGUGAUGAAGGUUUUCGGAUCGUAAAACUCUGUUGUUAGGGAAGAACAAGUGUGAGAGUAACUGCUCAUGCCAUGACGGUACCUAACCAGAAAGCCACGGCUAACUACGUGCCAGCAGCCGCCGUAACAC
rnacentral:rRNA from 1 species